AAAAAAGGUAAGCUACUAAGAGCGAAUGGUGGAUGCCUUGACUGGUAAAGGCGAUGAAGGACGUACUAGACUGCGAUAAGCUACGGGGAGCUGUCAAGAAGCUUUGAUCCGUAGAUUUCCGAAUGGGGCAACCCAAUGUAUAGAGAUAUACAUUACCUAUAUAGGAGCGAACGAGGGGAAUUGAAACAUCUUAGUACCCUCAGGAAAAGAAAUCAAUAGAGAUUGCGUCAGUAGCGGCGAGCGAAAGCGCAAGAGGGCAAACCCAGUGCUUGCACUGGGGGUUGUAGGACUGCAAUGUGCAAGAGGUGAGUUUAGCAGAACAUUCUGGAAAGUAUAGCCAUAGAGGGUGAUAGUCCCGUAUGCGAAAAACAAACCUUAGCUAGCAGUAUCCUGAGUAGGGCGGGACACGAGAAAUCCUGUCUGAAGCUGGGUCGACCACGAUCCAACCCUAAAUACUAAUACCAGAUCGAUAGUGCACAAGUACCGUGAGGGAAAGGUGAAAAGAACUGAGGUGAUCAGAGUGAAAUAGAACCUGAAACCAUUUGCUUACAAUCAUUCAGAGCCCUAUGUAGCAAUACAGGGUGAUGGACUGCCUUUUGCAUAAUGAGCCUGCGAGUUGUGGUGUCUGGCAAGGUUAAGCAAACGCGAAGCCGUAGCGAAAGCGAGUCUGAAUAGGGCGCUUAGUCAGAUGCUGCAGACCCGAAACGAAGUGAUCUAUCCAUGAGCAAGUUGAAGCUAGUGUAAGAACUAGUGGAGGACUGAACCCAUAGGCGUUGAAAAGCCCCGGGAUGACUUGUGGAUAGGGGUGAAAGGCCAAUCAAACUUCGUGAUAGCUGGUUCUCUCCGAAAUAUAUUUAGGUAUAGCGUUGUGUCGUAAUAUAAGGGGGUAGAGCACUGAAUGGGCUAGGGCAUACACCAAUGUACCAAACCCUAUCAAACUCCGAAUACCUUAUAUGUAAUCACAGCAGUCAGGCGGCGAGUGAUAAAAUCCGUCGUCAAGAGGGAAACAACCCAGACUACCAGCUAAGGUCCCUAAAUCUUACUUAAGUGGAAAACGAUGUGAAGUUACUUAAACAACCAGGAGGUUGGCUUAGAAGCAGCCAUCCUUUAAAGAAAGCGUAAUAGCUCACUGGUCUAGUGAUUUUGCGCGGAAAAUAUAACGGGGCUAAAGUAAGUACCGAAGCUGUAGACUUAGUUUACUAAGUGGUAGGAGAGCGUUCUAUUUGCGUCGAAGGUAUACCGGUAAGGAGUGCUGGAGCGAAUAGAAGUGAGCAUGCAGGCAUGAGUAGCGAUAAUUAAUGUGAGAAUCAUUAACGCCGUAAACCCAAGGUUUCCUACGCGAUGCUCGUCAUCGUAGGGUUAGUCGGGUCCUAAGUCGAGUCCGAAAGGGGUAGACGAUGGCAAAUUGGUUAAUAUUCCAAUACCAACAUUAGUGUGCGAUGGAAGGACGCUUAGGGCUAAGGGGGCUAGCGGAUGGAAGUGCUAGUCUAAGGUCGUAGGAGGUUAUACAGGCAAAUCCGUAUAACAUACUCCGAGAACUGAAAGGCUUUUUGAAGUCUUCGGAUGGAUAGAAGAACCCCUGAUGCCGUCGAGCCAAGAAAAGUUUCUAAGUUUAGCUAAUGUUGCCCGUACCGUAAACCGACACAGGUGGGUGGGAUGAGUAUUCUAAGGCGCGUGGAAGAACUCUCUUUAAGGAACUCUGCAAAAUAGCACCGUAUCUUCGGUAUAAGGUGUGGUUCGCUUCGUAUUAGGAUUUACUCCGAAAGCGAAGAAACUUACAACAAAGAGUCCCUCCCGACUGUUUACCAAAAACACAGCACUCUGCUAACUCGUAAGAGGAUGUAUAGGGUGUGACGCCUGCCCGGUGCUCGAAGGUUAAUUGAUGGGGUUAGCAUUAGCGAAGCUCUUGAUCGAAGCCCGAGUAAACGGCGGCCGUAACUAUAACGGUCCUAAGGUAGCGAAAUUCCUUGUCGGUUAAAUACCGACCUGCAUGAAUGGCGUAACGAGAUGGGAGCUGUCUCAAAGAGGGAUCCAGUGAAAUUGUAGUGGAGGUGAAAAUUCCUCCUACCCGCGGCAAGACGGAAAGACCCCGUGGACCUUUACUACAGCUUGACACUGCUAUUUGGAUAAGAAUGUGCAGGAUAGGUGGGAGGCUUUGAGUAUAUGACGCCAGUUGUAUAUGAGCCAUUGUUGAGAUACCACUCUUUCUUAUUUGGGUAGCUAACCAGCUUGAGUUAUCCUCAAGUGGGACAAUGUCUGGUGGGUAGUUUGACUGGGGCGGUCGCCUCCCAAAUAAUAACGGAGGCUUACAAAGGUUGGCUCAGAACGGUUGGAAAUCGUUCGUAGAGUAUAAAGGUAUAAGCCAGCUUAACUGCAAGACAUACAAGUCAAGCAGAGACGAAAGUCGGUCUUAGUGAUCCGGUGGUUCUGUGUGGAAGGGCCAUCGCUCAAAGGAUAAAAGGUACCCCGGGGAUAACAGGCUGAUCUCCCCCAAGAGCUCACAUCGACGGGGAGGUUUGGCACCUCGAUGUCGGCUCAUCGCAUCCUGGGGCUGGAGCAGGUCCCAAGGGUAUGGCUGUUCGCCAUUUAAAGCGGUACGCGAGCUGGGUUCAGAACGUCGUGAGACAGUUCGGUCCCUAUCUGCCGUGGGCGUAAGAAGAUUGAAGAGAUUUGACCCUAGUACGAGAGGACCGGGUUGAACAAACCACUGGUGUAGCUGUUGUUCUGCCAAGAGCAUCGCAGCGUAGCUAAGUUUGGAAAGGAUAAACGCUGAAAGCAUCUAAGCGUGAAGCCAACUCUAAGAUGAAUCUUCUCUAAGCUCUCUAGAAGACUACUAGUUUGAUAGGCUGGGUGUGUAAUGGAUGAAAGUCCUUUAGCUGACCAGUACUAAUAGAGCGUUUGGCUUAUCUUUAAUAAAGCAU
rnacentral:rRNA from 1 species